UACGUAGGGCGCAAGCGUUGUCCGGAAUUAUUGGGCGUAAAGAGCUCGUAGGCGGCCAGUUGCGUCUGCUGUGAAAUCCCGGGGCUCAACCCCGGGCGUGCAGUGGAUACGGGCUGGCUAGAGGCAGGCAGGGGAGAACGGAAUUCCCGGUGUAGCGGAGAAAUGCGCAGAUAUCGGGAGGAACACCGGUGGCGAAGGCGGUUCUCUGGGCCUGUACUGACGCUGAGGAGCGAAAGCGUGGGGAGCGAACAGG
rnacentral:rRNA from 1 species